GGAGAGAAGAUGUAAAGGUCCCUGAGCUCGAAGCCUCGAAUAUACGGUGAUUCUUAUCUUGAUUUAGCAGCUGAUUUUUGUUCUUUGAUAUAGUGCUUAUGGCAGAAGAAGUGAAGCUAAUUGGCACAUGGGCUAGUCCUUUUAGUCGCAGAAUUGAAAUAGCCCUGAAGCUCAAAGGAAUCAAAUAUGAUUACAUAGAAGAAGAUCCCUCCAAUAAGAGCCCUAUGCUCCUCAAGUACAACCCAGUUCAUAAGAAGAUUCCUGUUCUGGUGCACAAUGGAAGACCAAUUGUAGAAUCACUUGUUAUUCUUGAAUAUAUCGAUGAGACCUGGAAAAAUAAUCCAAUCUUGCCUAAAGGCCACUACGACAGAGCCAUAGCUCGUUUCUGGGCCAACUUUGUAGAUGAAAAAGUAAAUUAAUCAGUUCCUUGUAUACCUGCAGAUUUCACUCUUUCGAUGCUAGCAGGAGAGUCUGUUUUAUCAAGUGUUUGUCUAACAUUGUUAUUUGAGUCGUUAUUUAGGAAACUAACAACUUAAAUAUAUGAAUUACAAGUUAUUAAAAAUUUUCGAAAAGCUACUUCAGUUGUUUAGUAUGGAGAAUGUUUGCAGAUCUUGCGAACGGCUAUCAACAUUGGUUCAGCCAAAGUGGAGGAGAAAGAGGGGAUCAUUGAAGAAGUCUGUCAGUUGCAGAAACUGCUGGAAAGCGAGCUAAAAGAACGGGAAUUCUUUGGGGGCGAGACAAUUGGGUUCCUAGACAUAGUGGCGUUUAUGACAGCCCACUGGUUUCAAGUCCCUCAGGAAGUUAUGCAAAUCCAAUUUAUUAGUGAAGAGAAAUUGACAGCUCUAUGUAAAUGGAUGGAAAAGCUCCGAAAAAUACAAGUGGUCAAUGACUGCCUGCCUCCAAGAGACAAACUUAUAGCCUUCGUCAAAGCUCGCAUUGAAGCUGCCAAUUUUGCUUCCAAAUAAAGUCGUAUUUCAUACAUUCUUAGUCGCACAGUUGUCUGCGACGCACAUACCCUAUAGUUGACGAAUAUGUAGAUAGAUCUCUUGCAGCUCUGAGUUGUGUCAUGCGAAGAUUACGAAUAAAAGCUUGGUUUGAAGUGUACAUAUAUCUUGAAGAAUCCGGCAAAAUCUUUGAGUUCAUAGA
rnacentral:misc_RNA from 1 species